rnacentral:rRNA from 1 species
UACGAAGGGGGCUAGCGUUGCUCGGAAUCACUGGGCGUAAAGGGUGCGUAGGCGGGUCUUUAAGUCAGGGGUGAAAUCCUGGAGCUCAACUCCAGAACUGCCUUUGAUACUGAGGAUCUUGAGUUCGGGAGAGGUGAGUGGAACUGCGAGUGUAGAGGUGAAAUUCGUAGAUAUUCGCAAGAACACCAGUGGCGAAGGCGGCUCACUGGCCCGAUACUGACGCUGAGGCG